UGUUUCAGACACUGAGAUAGAAGCGAGAAGAAUAAGUUUGUGUAUAAUCUCAUGGAGGGGAAAACUAUUCUUCUUUGCUUUAUGGUGAUUGUGCUAAUGGAAAAUUUCAGUCUAACUGAGAGUUGCAAAGGAUACAUGGGUUUUAUUGCCCCUGUAUGUGGAGAACCAAAAUGUCGGGAGGCCUGUUGGUUGGAAUGGGGAGACCGUGUCAAGAAAGCUUAUUGUAUGAAUGCCAAGGAGUGUUACUGUCUAGUCUGUGAUUAGAGUUGCAAUUUUCCAUCAUGUAUGUAAAACAAUGGAACAUGAUGUGAUCUUUUAAUAAA